rnacentral:rRNA from 1 species
GCAACGCGAAGAACCUUACCAGCUUUUGACAUGUCCGGUUUGAUCGGCAGAGAUGCCUUUCUUCAGUUCGGCUGGCCGGAACACAGGUGCUGCAUGGCUGUCGUCAGCUCGUGUCGUGAGAUGUUGGGUUAAGUCCCGCAACGAGCGCAACCCUCGCCCCUAGUUGCCAUCAUUCAGUUGGGAACUCUAGGGGGACUGCCGGUGAUAAGCCGCGAGGAAGGUGGGGAUGACGUCAAGUCCUCAUGGCCCUUACAGGCUGGGCUACACACGUGCUACAAUGGCGGUGACAAUGGGCAGCGAAGGGGUGACCUGGAGCUAAUCCCAAAAAGCCGUCUCAGUUCAGAUUGUACUCUGCAACUCGAGUACAUGAAGGUGGAAUCGCUAGUAAUCGUGGAUCAGCAUGCCACGGUGAAUACGUUCCCGGGCCUUGUACACACCG